GUAGUCUUGUGACUACCAGUCUAUUGCAUCAUAACCCUCUGCAGCACACUCGUACGCCCCAGCUGCUCAAAUGACCUUUGACCCCGCCUUCAGAUUACACACCGCAGAAGGUGUCUGUGCCUCCAUGCAAUGGAAAUGGGAGAGACUCUGAGAGGGAUGUGGGAGUGUCCCUGAAGUAAAUGAAUAGAAAUGUGGGCGUGUCCCUGAGGUAAACUUAUACAAAUGUAGGCGUGUCCCCAGGUACAUGUAUAGAAAUGUGGGCGUGUCCAUGAAGUAAAUGAACAUAAAUGUGGGUGUCUCACUGAGGUAAAUGUAUAGAAAUGUGGACGUGUCACUGAAAUAAAUGUAUAGAAAGAUUUUCUAGGUUUUCUGUAUAUCAUGGAAACUUGGAUUACUCCAGGAGUUCGGAGCCUGUUUUCUGAACUGGUACCAUCUGACUGUAAUUUUUUAUUUUUUUCUAACUCUCCUCGUUCUGUUGGUCGAGAGGGACGACUGGCUUCAGUUUUUAAACGGAAUUAUUAAUACUGUCGGAUGCUGGUGACGGAUGUUUGUUUGAGUUCUGAACUUCAGUUAUUUGUAUUGGAGUUGGAUAAUCCAGUGGUGAUUUCAGGCAUUUAUCGACCACCUGAACCACACAAAGACUUUUUAAGGGGAAUUAUGCCCAACUUUAAUCGGGGAUACAUAUAUGUGUGUUGUCGAAGAAUUUCUGACCCUUGUUGACUCUUUUUACUUGGUGCAGCUUGUGAAUGCUCCCCCUCAUAUUCAGGUGAUCGGACCUACUGUUCAAAAGAUCACGAACAGCUGCCUUGAAAUGGCGACGGUACCAGAUGACAUGAAGCAUGCUGUUGUCCAUCCACUUCCUGAAAAGCCAAAUUUACAUCCAACGGUUCUAACAAAUUUUAGUCUUUCUUCUAUGUCCAAAAUGUGGGCGUGUCAACGAAGUAAAUGUAUAAAAAUGUGGGCGUGUCAAUGAGGUAAAUGUAUAGAAAUGUGGGCGUGUCACUGAGGUAAAUGUAUAAAAAUGUGGGCGUGUCGCUGAGGUAAAUGUAUAGAAAUGUGGGCGUGUCACUGAGGUAAAUGUAUAGAAAUGUGGGCGUGUCACCGAGGUAAAUGUAUAAAAAUGUGUGUGUCACUGAGGUAAAUAUAUAAAAAUGCGUGCGUGUCAAUGACGUAAAUGUAUAAAAAUGUGGGUGUGUCACUGAGGUAAAUGUAUAGAAACGUUGGCGUGUCACUGAGGUAAAUGUAUAGAAACGUUGGCGUGUCACUGAGGUAAAUGUAUAGAAAUGUGGGCGUGUCCCUGAAGUAAGCAAAUAGAAAUGUGAAGGUGUGACAGGAGUCAAGAUGGCGCCGAUGGGUGUGGCCUGCUCUCCGCUGCCUGUUGUGUUUGCCCAUUUGUUUUUCCCUUUUGAAUUAAAAUAAUAAAGCUACCUUUGUUGGACCAGGUGUUGGUCAAGGAUGCGUGAUGGGCGUGGCCGAGGGAAAGCCGCACCCAUCUGUCUCCUCAAUAUCGAGAUCAUUUUAAUGCAGUCUGAGAGACAUUAGCGGCGCAGCCAGGAAUGGAAAAGUAAAAAGCUUUUCAUUAGUCUGACACAAAGCCAUCGAUUUGCCAGAACAGAACGAACAGAGAAAACAAAGAGCAGAAGAAAGAAGGGGAAUAGAAGAAAGAAUGAGAGAAAAGUGGGGAAGAAAAGAAGAGAGGAGAAUAGAAAGAAACGAAGACAGUGGAGCGGAGGGACAGAACAGUGAGGAAUGAAGAGCCGAGAAAGAGAAGGAGAGAAGAAAAGGAAAGAAUGGAGCAUGAAGGAAGGAAGGAAGGGAGAGGAAGAAGACAAGAGGAGAGAGACAGAGAGAGAGAGAGUGAGAGAGACAGAGAGAGAGAGAGUGAGAGAGACGGAGUGAGAGAGACAGAGAGAGAGAGUGAGAGUGAGAGAGAGAGUGAGAGAGACAGAGAGAGAGUGAGAAUGAGAGAGAGUGAGAGAGACGGAGAGAGAGAGACAGAGAGAGAGAGAGUGAGAGAGACGGAGUGAGAGAGACAGAGAGAGAGAGUGAGAGUGAGAGAGAGAGAGAGUGAGAGAGACAGAGAGAGUGAGAGUGAGAGAGACGGAGGGAGAGAGACAGAGAGAGAGAGUGAGAGUGAGAGAGAGAGUGAGAGAGAGUGAGAGAGAUGGAGAGAGAGAGAGACAGAGAGAGAGAGAGAGAGAAUCCUCCCCUGAGCAGGACGAUUAUGAGCCGGCUUUCCAUCACACACCACACGACAAGCGGAGACAAGUUCUGUCCAGACUAAUGAUGCCAGGGUCACUGGGGGUGUGUGUGUGUGUGUGUGUAUCAGGCGGUAAGGAAGCAUGAACCGAUACUAUACAGUGUCCUAUACAGUCUAAAAUGAGUGUCACAUUAUUUAGGAAAUCCCGCUAAAUAGAUUAGCAGUGGGGGAGGUGCACACACACACACACACACACACACAUAUAUAUAAUACACACACUCACACCCCUGUCAUAUAUGAAUAUGAUAUAAUCUCAUUAAACGUAUAUAAAGGUAUUAUGAAGGA
ensembl:lncRNA